GAAUAUGAGGGUGAUCUGGCUGUGACAUUUGUCACCCCAUUGAUCACCAGGGUUGAUUCAGCUGACCUGGCCGGCUAGGCAGGUCCCUUUCCUCCUUCACUAUUCCAUGUGUGUCCCUCCCAAAGCUUUGAGCUCAAAGAUGACUGAAUAGAGACAGGCCCAGUCUUCAGAUGAGAGUCUACAGGUAGCUGUACUCCUCUGCUAGAACCUCCAAACAAGCUCUCAAAGCCCCUAAUCUCAGGAUGUUUCUUCAUAUGACGCUAUAUACUCUUGGGGUAAAUCUUCUGAAAAUCUUGAGUUUCUU
ensembl:misc_RNA 7SK 7SK RNA